rnacentral:rRNA from 1 species
CCUUUAUGGAGAGUUUGAUCCUGGCUCAGGACGAACGCUGGCGGCGUGCCUAAUACAUGCAAGUCGAGCGGAUCUCAUUG